UAUGUAGGCAGCGAGCGUUGUUCGGAGUUACUGGGCGUAAAGGGUGUGUAGGCGGUUGUUUAAGUUUGGUGUGAAAUCUCCCGGCUCAACUGGGAGGGUGCGCCGAAUACUGAAUGACUUGGAGUGCGGGAGAGGAAAGUGGAAUUCCUGGUGUAGCGGUGAAAUGCGUAGAUAUCAGGAGGAACACCGGUGGCGAAGGCGGCAUCCUGGACCGAAAUUGACGCUGAGGCGCGAAAGCCAGGGGAGCAAACGGG
rnacentral:rRNA from 1 species